UACGGGGGGGGCAAGCGUUGUUCGGAAUUACUGGGCGUAAAGGGCUCGUAGGCGGCCAACUAAGUCAGACGUGAAAUCCCCAGGCUCAACCUGGGAACUGCGUCUGAUACUGGAUGGCUUGAAUCCGGGAGAGGGAUGCAGAAUUCCAGGUGUAGCGGUGAAAUGCGUAGAUAUCUGGAGGAAUACCGGUUGCGAAGGCGGCAUCCUGGACCGGCAUUGACGCUGAGGAGCGAAAGCCAGGGGAGCAAACGGG
rnacentral:rRNA from 1 species